AUCCAGAUGACGAGUCUUCAGUAGGACGAAAUGCGCAUCCUGGAU
rnacentral:hammerhead_ribozyme from 1 species